rnacentral:tRNA from 1 species
GGCCCCAUCGUCUAGAGGCCAAGGACAUCGCCCUCUCACGGCGAAAACCCGGGUUCGAAUCCCGGUGGGGUCACCC